UGCAGUCGACGGUGACACGGAGCUUGCUCUGUGGGAUCAGUGGCGAACGGGUGAGUAACACGUGAGCAACCUGCCCCUGACUCUGGGAUAAGCGCUGGAAACGGCGUCUAAUACUGGAUAUGUGACGUGAUCGCAUGGUCUGCGUCUGGAAAGAAUUUCGGUUGGGGAUGGGCUCGCGGCCUAUCAGCUUGUUGGUGAGGUAAUGGCUCACCAAGGCGUCGACGGGUAGCCGGCCUGAGAGGGUGACCGGCCACACUGGGACUGAGACACGGCCCAGACUCCUACGGGAGGCAGCAGUGGGGAAUAUUGCACAAUGGGCGCAAGCCUGAUGCAGCAACGCCGCGUGAGGGAUGACGGCCUUCGGGUUGUAAACCUCUUUUAGCAGGGAAGAAGCGAAAGUGACGGUACCUGCAGAAAAAGCGCCGGCUAACUACGUGCCAGCAGCCGCGGUAAUACGUAGGGCGCAAGCGUUAUCCGGAAUUAUUGGGCGUAAAGAGCUCGUAGGCGGUUUGUCGCGUCUGCUGUGAAAUCCGGAGGCUCAACCUCCGGCCUGCAGUGGGUACGGGCAGACUAGAGUGCGGUAGGGGAGAUUGGAAUUCCUGGUGUAGCGGUGGAAUGCGCAGAUAUCAGGAGGAACACCGAUGGCGAAGGCAGAUCUCUGGGCCGUAACUGACGCUGAGGAGCGAAAGGGUGGGGAGCAAACAGGCUUAGAUACCCUGGUAGUCCACCCCGUAAACGUUGGGAACUAGUUGUGGGGUCCAUUCCACGGAUUCCGUGACGCAGCUAACGCAUUAAGUUCCCCGCCUGGGGAGUACGGCCGCAAGGCUAAAACUCAAAGGAAUUGACGGGGACCCGCACAAGCGGCGGAGCAUGCGGAUUAAUUCGAUGCAACGCGAAGAACCUUACCAAGGCUUGACAUAUACGAGAACGGGCCAGAAAUGGUCAACUCUUUGGACACUCGUAAACAGGUGGUGCAUGGUUGUCGUCAGCUCGUGUCGUGAGAUGUUGGGUUAAGUCCCGCAACGAGCGCAACCCUCGUUCUAUGUUGCCAGCACGUAAUGG
rnacentral:rRNA from 1 species